rnacentral:tRNA from 1 species
AUUUAUAUAGUUUAUAAAAACAUUACAUUUUCACUGUAAAAUUAGGGCUUCCUUGUAAAUU